rnacentral:lncRNA from 1 species
GGCCCACUUCCAUUUUCACCAGAUGGUAAAUAUUCCUGGGACUUGUGUGGAUGGCAAGGAGGCAGUAAGAAGCUGCUCUCCAGGUACUAUUAAUUACUGCAAAUAUUUAUUAAGCAUCUAUGCAGUAUCAGGCAGUAUUCUAGGUUCUUUGGAUCCAGUAUGAAUCAUACAAAAUUCCAACUUCUAUGGCAUUUUUAUUCCAGGAAGGAGGCCAACAUAAACAAAAUCAGUAAGUAAAUAUAUUAUAAAAUGUAUUAGAUAAGUUCUAUGGAAGAGAAAAUAUAGGGAAGGCGGUUAGGGAAGAAAGGGACAAUAUACAAUUUUAAUUGAGUGUUCAGGAGAGCCCUGUUGAACAGGUGCUAUUUAAACAGAGAAUCAACAGAGGUUGGGAGUGAACCUCAUGGCAGAAGGAGUGCAGGAUACAAAGGCCUUGAGGAGGAAACUCACCUGAUACAAUGGGCUAAAAUCUAAAGAAGCAGGGAAAUUACCAGGACUCUCUUCUGCUGUCACCACCGGACUAGAAAAAGAUUCAUCUUCAGCAGAACUGCCAUGUUCCUCCAGAGCUGGGAGGAGGCUUCUUUCCUGGAAGAUCCUGGUACUCUUGAGGUAGGGAUGGCAAUGCUGAGCCAAACCCCCCGGGUCAUUGCCAUCCCUACCUCAAGAGUACCAGCAGGGAAAAGGGAGGGGUCUCAACAGCACUGCCCAGCAGGGACAGCCGGUGGCCACAGAAAUUACCAGCAACUGUAGCUGCUUUGUCAAUGCAGGAGCCCUACACCUGGUAAACUGAAGCAGUCGGUGACGGUGAGGGAUGAGUAGGAUGUAUGAAAAGUAUCUAGAAGGGGUCUGCUAAAGAGUCAUUUUGAUUUUACACCUGAAGCUGAUACAUCUGUAUGGCCUGAAAAUUGGCAUGGUGGUAGUGAGGGGGUUUGGGGGAGGGGGCAACAAUCUGCCUCUAAAAAGAAAAUUUUAUUUUUACCCCGUGUGCAUAUAUAAUUACACAACUGGUGUAACUUUACAUCAUGUACCACCAGAAGAAUAAGUUAUGCUCCAUUUAUGUUUGAUGUGUCAAAAUGCAUUC